AAAAAAUGAAAUUCUUGACUAUCUAUAAAGUGAGAAUUUGAAUUGCUUUGUUUACACCAAUAAGGAAGAGAUGUAGAACACUUACCAAAGAUGAAGACCUAUUUGAGGUUCUCACUUCAACAAAACCAAGCAAAAUCAAUCACAAGUAGCAAACUUCACAUUCACACACACCAUUAGAAGCACCAUCUCCCCGUAAACGCACCAAAAUGUGAAUAUAAAAUUCCACCCCUCAA
rnacentral:lncRNA from 1 species